rnacentral:lncRNA from 1 species
UCCUUUCCUCGAUCUCUCGGCCACCUCCUCCUCCUUCUCCGAUCUUUUUUUUUUCCCUCCUCCCACUGUCUUCUCUACGGUUUAAUCAAAGUUCAGCUACUCCACUUGCCUCUCCUCUCAUUUCUUUCGGAAAGGGGAAACCAGACGACCCAGCGGCCACGGGACGAGUCACCCCAACUCAACCCCAGCAGGACGCUGGAGGGGCCUCCCUUGCCCACCUCUCUUCGCUAGCACUGGCCUCCCGCACCUGGGUCUGCAGUCCCUCCGCCAUCUCACAAGUGUGCAGCCGCUAGGCCUGGGGGAUCCGAAUGACUGGGGCUGGAUAGGAAUGCCUUCGUGUUUCCCAAGACCCCCGGGCCUGCUCCACAAAGUUUGAAGGGUGGGUACACCCCGACCCAGGCAAGUUACUCCCCCAAACCCAUGACUGACUAAUCUGAUAUGACAAAAGCCCAUGAUGGAUUUGGUAUAUGUUAAUUCACAAUGCCCUUUCCUCCAGAAUUUAACUAUAAGUUAAUACACACCGGAAACCAUGCGCAUACACUCUCCUUAAUGGGCUUAGUAAUGUAUUAGUGAGUCCUAACGAUGCAUACAAAUGUGCUCUGCGCUCUGUAGACCCCUCAAGAUUUAUGGGCCUUGAGCUCUCUGAAGCUGUAAACAAGGAGAAAAAAAAAAGAGAAAGCGAAAGCGACUGGGGGGAAGAGACAGAGGCCUGACUCGCCCCUCCAGGUUUUGGAGAGAAGGGAUUCUUUAUGUAUUUUCCUUUCCUUGCAAGCUCGGCUUCUGCUUUGUGUGAUCAGGGAAGGGAUCCCACAUAUGGGAAUGGUUAAUGGAUUUUGGGACUCUCUAGGAGCCCCUGUUUUAAGAAGGAGGCCAAAUGUGCAGGCUCAGGCCAAGCAGCAGAGAUGAAUGAGGUGAUGACCACAGCCUUGAUCCGGCAGGAGCUCAGAGAUGCCCGGGAAGACGGGGGGCCCGAAUGGAAGCAGAAAAACACUUAUGGCCGCUGGGAAGUUGGGAGAGCCAGGCUGGGGCUCCGGCAGGCCCAGGGAAAGUUCCCUUUCUAGGCUCUUUAUUAAAAAAUUUAAAAGGAGGAGUUGAGGCGCCUUGAAUUUUCCUUCGCGAGUUUGGAGACCAGCCGAUUUUUCAUGAAGCAAGCAAGGGCCGCGGUCCCGGAUCCUGCAACAUAUACCUCAUUUUCUCCAGGCCUCUCCACUUGCCCGAGCUCUCAGCCACCAGGAGACAGACGGAAGGGGCUUCUGGGCUGUGUUGGGAGCGGGCAUUGUCCCCUACCCACUCCUGCACAGUUUCCCAAAGUCCAGCGACCUCCGACCCUCCUUGGGGAAAAAAAUACCAGUACCCAGACACCUCUGCACCCUGUUAUAUGACUGGGCUUGCUUCAGGAAUAUCUUACAAAGAAGAAGAAGGAGGAGGAACGGCUUGGAGUCAUGUUUACAUCUAGUUCUACUGAUCCGUUCACAUCUGGAGAGUUUAUUUAUAACUCCCUCUAUAACUCUCUGUUUGGAGGCACUGGUGGCUCUACUGACAGACUGAUGUCUAGGAAAUAUUGCUCUAUGUCUAAUGGUACCUAAAUGUGCUGUGGUUGUAUUUACAGAUUUACGUUUGAGGGAAAUAUAAUUAUUUCCAUUGUA